rnacentral:rRNA from 1 species
GAUGAACGCUGGCGGCGUGCCUAAUACAUGCAAGUCGAGCGAAUGGAUUAAGAGCUUGCUCUUAUGAAGUUAGCUGCGGACGGGUGAGUAACACGUGGGUAACCUGCCCAUAAGACUGGGAUAACUCCGGGAAACCGGGGCUAAUACCGGAUAACAUUUUGAACCGCAUGGUUCGAAAUUGAAAGGCGGCUUCGGCUGUCACUUAUGGAUGGACCCGCGUCGCAUUAGCUAGUUGGUGAGGUAACGGCUCACCAAGGCAACGAUGCGUAGCCGACCUGAGAGGGUGCUCGGCCACACUGGGACUGAGACACGGCCCAGACUCCUACGGGAGGCAGCAGUAGGGAAUCUUCCGCAAUGGACGAAGGUCUGACGGAGCAACGCCGCGUGAGUGAUGAAGGCUUUCGGGUCGUAAAACUCUGUUGUUAGGGAAGAACAAGUGCUAGUUGAAUAAGCUGGCACCUUGACGGUACCUAACCAGAAAGCCACGGCUAACUACGUGCCAGCAGCCUCAGUAA